UCGAUAUCACCUAUUGUAGAAAUUUACUCACCGAUUAAUCUAUAAGCCUUUGCUUAGUCUUUUACUAUAUUGCACAUUCAAUUAAUUCCCAGUGCAGAUACCUGGCAAAACAGUGCUGCAACACCUAGUAUCAACCAGUGACUGAUGCAUCAUGCAUCUGAUAACCUAACUUACGUGACACCAGGGCAGGUUCGUCACAAACAGGUGGUGCAAUACCCAGUAUCAACCAGUGACUGCUGCCUCUGAUAACCUAACUUGGGA
rnacentral:lncRNA from 1 species